rnacentral:siRNA from 1 species
GCCGAGUGGUGUCAUCAUGUUGG